UAUAGGAAGAAAUUUCUUACUAAGAUACAGGAAUAAAAGCAUCAUGACCUUUUGUGGUGUAGUUGGGUCCAUGGUUGGCAAGUCAUACCUCAUCUAUUCCAUGUAUCUGUUGUGUACUUGUCAUCAUCAUCUUCUUCUUCUUCUCCUUCUUUCUUGACGUCGAUUCCUAGACCUCUUCCAUUAUAUUGGUACUGAACAUAGCCUUGGAAUUAUAUGAUUGCUAUUGCUACGUCCUUUUCUUAGAUCCAUGAGACAUUUGCUUAAGAAAAGUACAUUUGCCUAGUCCACUUUAUAUAAAAACGAAAGCAUAUAUAAGUGAAAAUCCUUAGGGUGUCAAGUACAUGGGUUCUUACGCUGGUAGAAUCUCGGCUCUGCAUUGACUCUAAGAUGAUCAGUGAUCUCUUUUGUGCAAAUGUCCCCUAUCUUACGACAAUCCAUCCUGCUUUUCUAAUAACAAUUGCAAAAAAAAGAAGAAGAAAAAGAAAUUAAAUUCAUGAAAAUUCAACAUAAUCAGCACAUGCAUAUCUGAACUCAUGCUGCAGGGAGAAAAGUAAAAACAAAGCAUCGUAAAUAAAAAAGAGGGAUUAGAACAUGUCAUUUUGCACUAAAACAAAAGAUAAUUUGAUAUAAGAUAAUUACAUAAACACUGCCACUUGGUUUCAGGAUUUUAAGAUCACAAUGCAAUUAAUUUGCAUUCCUGAUAAAUCUCAAAUACCUUCAAUACAUAAGCAUUUACAAAUUUGUAUUGUAGGGGCAGAAGAAAGAAAAUGAAGAAAGGUACAACUGCAUGCGCUCUAAUUGAAACGUUAAAAAAAAAAACGAAUUUUCAGCAACCGGAGGCCAAUUGGAAUUUAAAAUGGGAAUAAAAUAAUAUAAAAACAGAAGAAAUAAGUCGACCUAAAAUAUCGAAAAAUCCAGUAAAUAAGAAAGUCCCAGUGUUCUCUGCAUUCAUCAGGACAAGCAAAUGAAUAACCGAAAUCGAAGAAGGAAAAAAAAGGAAAAAAAAAGGAAGCAAACAUAGUCUUCCGAAAAUCCGGGGAAAAAUGGUAGUGGGAGCUGAUUAAGAGAAGGAUGCGGUUUCCAAAACUCUGAAUUUUGGAGAGGAAAAAAAAGAUUUCAAAUUUAACGACAGGGAGAGGACGGAGGUGGGAUUAUUUAUAGAGAGCUUACAAGGAUUUGUGGGACCUUUUGAUCGACGGAGGGUGAGCGCCUGAGACCAACGGUGUUGGCG
rnacentral:lncRNA from 1 species